rnacentral:pre_miRNA from 1 species
AAUGUUAUUAUUAGAUAAUACGUUUCACUUUGUGAGAAACUUCCAAAUUGUUUUCCAAAGUAGAUGUACUAUUUUUCAUUCCCAUAAACAAU